rnacentral:misc_RNA from 1 species
GAUUUGGAAGAGCUUUGCACCAACUAAAGAGGCUUGUUUUGAUUGGGCGGUGGUUCAUGAUGCAUGCUUUUCACAGGAUAGUUUGAGGAAAAGAGGCUCUUAACUUUUUAGUAGAUUCUAUCUAUGUGAACACUCUUGUGAUACUGUUAAUCUUCUUUGUCUGCUAUAAUUAUACCUGGAAGAUUUGGACCUUGUUUAUGGAUUUUUUCGGUGUGGCAGGGAAAUUUCAGAAGAAUAUCUGGUUGAUCAUUCCGUCAUGCAUAGCAUGGACAAACUGGAUUUAGAGGAAUAGGAGAUGUUUUGAUGGCAAACAGGAACAACUCAAUUAGUG